rnacentral:lncRNA from 1 species
ACACAGUCCAUUAUCAGUCUCAUUGUAAAAGACACUUCUAAAGAGUGUCCUCCUUUCUUUCCCAACACUGGCAGGGACAGUAAGUGGUGUUUCCUGGGAGAUGCUACGGUGUUAUUUUUGCACUACAAGGGCUCUGAAGACUGCCAGGCUUGAAGUGAAGAACCACGUCACCUGCCUAUCCCAGCCAGGUGACAGUGGACAAGGGGCUUCACCUCUGAGCUGUUUUCCAGCUGUACUGGGCACAUUCCUCCUCUCACCCUGACUCACAAGGUGUUAGCAAUAAUGGACACUCCUCUAUCUUCUGCCACACUCUGAACAAUACUUCACUUCCAUCAAAUGGAUUCAUCCCAAAGGUAAUGCCCAUCGCUUCUGGAGGGAGAAAGAUCCCCUACAAAAGACCAUGUUUCUUCUCAGCUUGCUCAGUCCAGCUGAGCCAGCUUUCCACUGGACUCCUGAAUGUGAGAAGGACACAGGCUCCCAGGACUAUCCAGAAGCAUGCCUCAUCACCAUAAAGCUCUGAAACACCGGCUGGGUGCAGAGGCUCACACCCGUAAUCCCAACACAUUCAGAGGCUGAGUUCCUUUCUGCAGAGGCACCUGCUGUCACUUGCUCCUCACGAAUUCUGCUAGAGCUACACUAUGUGUAGACAUAUGGCAGCGUGCUCCUCAGCCUCUUCCGUGCUGGUUUGUCCACUGAAUUUAUCUUGGCGAUUUUUCCUCGUGAUUACAUGUAGAGCUGCCUCAUUAUCUACAGUAGCUGGGAUGCACAUUUCACAUGUUUAUGUACACUGACUUCCAAAAGGUUGCACUUACAGUAUGUGAGUUUCUAAAAAGGAGAGACCAUGUUGGCAGUUCUCCACACAGAAGACAAACUGAGAAGGGAGAGCGGGCACGAAUUACUCAUCUGUCCACAGAGAUGGUGAGACAGCUCAGUGUGGGAAGCUGUAUAAGGGAAGUAUAUACAAUUCUACCUGAAUUGGAAGUAAACAGGGACAUUGCAUUUCUGGUAUUCAGCUGGAGUUGAACACGCUUCACAGAUGAGGCUCACUAUGGCCAAGUCCCAGGGCUGAGGUCCAGGGAGGGGCAGGCUGAGUCAGCCCAUCAAUUCAUCAACAGAGGGAACAGGAGAGGACAGGGGCAGGCCAGCCUGGAACCUAGAGCCUUUGGAUUUCUAUUUUUACUUCUUACAACGAGGUGGUUUAAAAAAAGAGGAGGGGGCCAGGCACGGUGGUUCAUGCCUGUAUUCCCGGCCCUUUGGGAGGCCGAGACAGGCGGAUGACAUGAGGUCAGGAGUUUAAGACCAGCCUGGCCAACAUGGCAAAAAUCCUGUCUCUACUAAAAGUACAAAAAUUAGCCAGGCGUG